UUCCGCUGGUUCCGUCCAGCCCUGAUCCCCCUGUAUACCCUCUCAGUCUCCCUACCUCCUCCAGUCAGUUCCUCUGCUCCAUUUCCGCUGGUUCCGCCCAGCUCUGAAUUUUCUGUUUCUCCGCUGGUUCCACCCAGCCCUGAAUUUCCUGUGUCUCCGCUGGUUCCGCCCAGCUCUGAAUUUCCUGUUUCUCCGCUGGUUCCGCCCAGCUCUGAAUUUCCUGUGUGUCCGCUGGUUCCUCCCAGCUCUGAAUUUUCUGUAUCUCCACUGGUUCCGCCCAGCUCUGAAUUUUCUGUGCCCCCGCUGGUUCCGCCCAGCUCUGAAUUUCCUGUGUCUCCUGUAUUAACUCCCAGCCUCCCUCUCCCACCUCCUCCUAGACCUGCCAGUUCCCCUGCUCCACUUCCGCUGGUUCUGUCCAGCCCUGAUCCUCCUGUGUUUCCUCCCAUCCUUCCCCUCUCUCCUCCUCCUAGACCAGCCAGUUCCACGACCUCAUCUCCGCUGGUGCCAGUCUGUCCCGCAACUCACCCUCAGUCCUCGCCAUCUGGGCGCGAUGGUUCGCCACUGGGCUGCCAGUCUCCAGCUCCACCUUGGUGUGUUAAAGCCCUGUCUCCGCCUCCAGCCUCCGAGCCCUGGACUCCUCCUCGGUCCUUCGACCCAGUGGCUCCGCCUUGGCUCUUAGCUGCCUUGUCUCCACCAUGGCCUGGCAGCCCACCUGCUCCACCGGGCUCCCUCGUCCCUCCGGCUCCACCUUGGUCAGUCGUCGACCAUCUGCCACCUCGGUACUCCACUCCUCUGGCUUCACCUCGUCACUCCAUCCCUUCGGCUCUGUCAGGCUCCUCCUUCCCUCUGGUUCCACCUCCAUCCUCGGUCACUCCGGCUCCACAGCGGUCUUCCAGGACCCCACCUCCGCCUUGGUCGCCUGAGCCUUCUGCUCCACCUAGGCCCUCCGGAUCAUCAACGUCACCCUGGCUCUGUGGCUGCGCUGCUCCAUCUUGGGCUCCUCACCCACCAGUGCAGUCUCCGCCUGUCGGCCCCCUGGUGUCGUCGGCUCAUUCUCCACCAUGGCUCUUUCAGAGUUUUCUUUAUUUUCAUGACUAUGAAAAUCUUGAUUGGGUUCAGGUCCGGUGA
rnacentral:lncRNA from 1 species